AAGAAAAGCGUCUUAACCAAACUGAUGUACUAGAAAACAAGUUUUGGUAAAUACAGUUCCCUUGCUCCCUACCGAAACAAUUGUUCAUUUUAGUAUGAAGGGUGGUUGGUACUAGCUCAUGUCUC